AUACAAAACAAGUGAAACUCCAAAAAUCGAUAACAUUUUUAUUUAUCAAUGAAAAAUAAAAAUGUCAUCGAUUUUUGGAGUUUCAUUUGUUUUGUAAACAC